GAUGAACGCUGGCGGCGUGCCUAAUACAUGCAAGUCGAGCGAACAGAUGAGGAGCUUGCUCCUCUGACGUUAGCGGCGGACGGGUGAGUAACACGUGGAUAACCUACCUAUAAGACUGGGAUAACUUCGGGAAACCGGAGCUAAUACCGGAUAAUAUAUUGAACCGCAUGGUUCAAUAGUGAAAGACGGUUUUGCUGUCACUUAUAGAUGGAUCCGCGCCGCAUUAGCUAGUUGGUAAGGUAACGGCUUACCAAGGCGACGAUGCGUAGCCGACCUGAGAGGGUAAUCGGCCACACUGAAACUGAGACACGGUCAGACUCCUACGGGAGGCAGCAGUAGGGAAUCUUCCGCAAUGGGCGAAAGCUUGACGGAGCAACGCCGCGUGAGUGAUGAAGGUCUUCGGAUCGUAAAACUCUGUUAUUAGGGAAGAACAAAUGUGUAAGUAACUAUGCACGUCUUGACGGUACCUAAUCAGAAAGCCACGGCUAACUACGUG
rnacentral:rRNA from 1 species